GGGGCCGACAUGGCUUCGACGUGGGUCGCGAAGCAGAUGAGUGCAUACCGAGGUCCAGUCACCUCGUAAAUCCGCUGGAAAUCAAUAAACGCCAACGACGAGCGUUUCGCUCUCGCCGCUUAAUCCCGGCGGGCGCUGCACCGACAGGUUCCUGGGUCGGAUGAUGGGGUGAAAGCCGCAUCUUGCAGUGUCAUUUACAGGAACUCGGUGAUGUGUCGGGUUACUUGACACAAAGCCUAAAUCCAAGGUAACUCGUUGCGGGAUGGUUCGUCUGUCGGCCGACCCCCGCGAUUAAAUCAAAAUUGACAGACUAAGUAUGUAGAGCUCGCUGUAGAGGGCUUGCGGACGGGGGUUCGAUUCCCCCCGGCUCCACCA
rnacentral:tmRNA from 1 species